UACAGAGGUCUCAAGCGUUGUUCGGAUUCAUUGGGCGUAAAGGGUGCGUAGGCGGCGCGGUAAGUCGGGUGUGAAAUCUUGGAGCUUAACUCCGAAACUGCAUUCGAUACUGCCGUGCUUGAGGACUGGAGAGGAGACUGGAAUUUACGGUGUAGCGGUGAAAGAUGCGUAGAUAUCGUAAGGAAGACCAGUGGCGAAGGCGGGUCUCUGGACAGUUCCUGACGCUGAGGCACGAAGGCCCAGGGGAGCAAACGGG
rnacentral:rRNA from 1 species